GACGUAGGGCGCGAGCGUUGUCCGGAUUUAUUGGGCGUAAAGAGCUCGUAGGCGGCUUGUUGCGUCUGCCAUGUAAUCCUGCGGCUUAACUGUGGGUUUGUGGUGGAUACGGGCGGGCUUGAGUGCGGUAGGGGAGACUGGAAUUCCUGGUGUAGCGGUGAAAUGCGCAGAUAUUAGGAGGAACACCGGUGGCGAAGGCGGGUCUCUGGGCCGUUACUGACGCUGAGGAGCGAAAGCGUGGGGAGCGAACAGG
rnacentral:rRNA from 1 species